UCCACCUUACUUUUCUGCGUUAAAGCUUUAAGGGCUGCCCUUGAGCUAUUGGGCCUUAGGGCUGGCCCAAAAGUUAAAGCCACCUGAGUCUGACCUAGUUUCCCACUUUUCAGAUUUCUCCUACCUUGGUGCUUAGAGCCGCAGCCGCACUCUCUCCGUUAGGGUUCCACCGUGUUGACAGUCCACCUUCCGUUUGGCCGUUCUUAGCUCACCUUCGAGUCCAUUCCUAGAAGCUGUUCGUCCCCCACAGUUUGGGGUGUCGAGGUUUUCGGCUAGCUUGUCCAGAUGGGCGAGGUCCUCGUGGUCAACAAGGGAAUGGUGAU